UUUUUGCAUUAUUUCCCUUAAUUUUCACCGAAUAGUAUUAAUCUCUUUCGUCAUUAAUAGGUACCAUUUGUAACCUUUGUGAGACGCCUCGAUUUUAUCCAUGAAACACUUCAUUUCCUUUGUUUUUAAUUUCAAUUUCAAUUCCCUUUUCCUUCUUCUCAGUUCCGUUUCCUCCAGACAUAUGCAUUACCCAGAAAUUGAAGUAGGCUCUCUAUUCCUCUCUUUCUUUCUUCUUAAAGGGCUGUUGGUUUGCUGAAAAGUGGAGAAUCAUCGACAAAGCAGAGAGACAGGCGAUCACCCUUGCAAGAAAUCCCAUAAUCUAUCUCUUGCCAUUUCUGGCUUAAUCUAACAAAAUUGAAGGGUCUUUCGCCCAUUUAUUCUCUUGCGUCUUAGAUCUGUGAUAAAUCAGGCAACCGCCAUGGCUGCAGACAUAGAUUGGUCUCAAGUUGAGCGAUGUAAUUCAUAUAUAAUCCGCUAUAUUAGGGCUUCAGCCCAUAUAGGUCUCAAGUUGAUGGCCUGUUUGCUAGCGCUGACUCUCAGAAGUGAUUUCCUGCUCUCUUAAAACCUUUUUCCACAUCGACUUAUUGGCAAGUUUAAGUUUUGUUUUACCCGCAAAUUUGUGUACUAGAGAUUGGCUUUGCGAGCAAGAAGAUUGCAGUGAAUCAGAGUACGACAAGGAUGAAAUUGCAGUAGACUUUCAGCCGUAGCUUCAUUAACUUGGUUCGCAUUGAUAGUGCUGAAAAAGAUGUCUGCAUAUGGAGUUGUGUUUUUUGGGUAUAAGAAUUGCUAAACAUUUCAAUGCAUAAACAGAAAAGAGCCAAGAGUUGAUGUGUUUCACGGAGGUGGAAAUCAAUUUAGAGGGCAUACCCGUUUUAGAGUCCUUUAUAUGUCAAAUACAAUAUUUGGGAUUUCGUACAAGACUAAUGAUAAUUGUGUUUCCCUUACAAGGCAAUACUACAAGGUCUUGGAAUACCUUGGGUAUAACAAUUGCUAGGAGUGGGCAUAUUCCUAUCAAAUUGUUAAUAUUGAUAUGUCAAUUAUCUUUCAGGGAUUUAUAAACUUCUAUAAAACCCAGAAAGAGGAAAUGAUAUCUUUUAAUUAUGUUAUCUUAUUUA